rnacentral:rRNA from 1 species
GGAGUUUGGACCGUGUCUCAGUUCCAAUGUGGGGGACCUUCCUCUCAGAACCCCUACCCAUCGUAGGUUAGGUGGGCCGUUACCCCGCCUACUGCCUAAUGGGACGCAUCCUCAUCCUGUACCGAUAAAUCUUUGCUUUCUCUGUCAUGCAACAAAAAAGAACAUCGGGCAUUAAUCCUACUUUCGCAGGGCUAUUCCCGUGUGCAGGGUAGAUUGGAUACGCGUUACGCACCCGUGCGCCGGUCGCCAUCACAGAAAGCAAGCUUCCUGCAUGCUGCCCCUCGACUUGCAUGUGUUAAGCCUGUAGCUAGCGUUCAUC